rnacentral:rRNA from 1 species
ACAGGGAUUGCCCUAGUAACGGCGAGUGAAGCGGCAAAAGCUCAGAUUUGAAAUCUGGAACAUCCGAGUUGUAAUCUGUAGAGAAGUAUCCAAUAUUAGUCCUUGGAACAGGACGUCAUAGAGGGUGAGAACCCCGUCUUUAGUCUUUUCUUUUAUUGAUAUAAGUCUUCUUCAAUGAGUCGAGUUGUUUGGGAAUGCAGCUCUAAAUGGGUGGUAAAUUCCAUCUAAAGCUAAAUAUUGGCAAGAGACCGAUAGCGCACAAGUAGAGUAAUCGAAAGAUGAAAAGAACUCUGGACAGAGAGUUAAAUAGUACGUGAAAUUGUUGAAAGGGAAGCACUUGCUACCAGACACACCAGUUGUUAAUCAGCUGGUGCACUUAAUAACUUGGGUCAGCAUCAGUUGUCAAUGAGAAAAAUGAAUGUGGCUUCCUCCUCUUGUAAGUAUCAGCGACCAGACUGAGGUUCGCACAAUGGUCGUAAGUGACCCGUCUUGAAACACGGACCAAGGAGUCUAACAUCUAUGCAAGUGUUUGGGUUAAAACCCUCAUGCGAAAUGAAAGUGAAUGCAGAUGGUCUGCCCCAUCGACCGAUCCUGAUGUUCUCGGAUGGAUUUGAGUAUGAGCAUAGAUGUUGGGACCCGAAAGAUGGUGAACUAUGCCUGAAUAGGGUGAAGCCAGAGGAAACUCUGGUGGAGGCUCGGUUCUGACGUGCAAAUCGAUCGUCAAAUUUGGGGCGAAAGACCAAUCG